GUGGGUUGGGAACUGAACUCUGAGCCACUACAAAACCAGCAAGCUCUCUUAACUGCUGAGCUCUCUCUCUGGGCCUACAUUUAGGUUUAUGGAUAACUAAUCUUAGACCUUGGUCAUCCUCUCUCAGUCUCACCCCAGGCCUUGGUUACCCUCUCUCAGACUCACCCCAGACCUUGGUCACCCUCUCUCAGACUCACCCAGACCUUGGUUACCCUCUCUCAGACUCACCCCAGACCUUGGUCACCCUCUCUCAGACUCACCCAGACCUUGGUUACCCUCUCUCAGACUCACCCCAGACCUUGGUCACCCUCUCUCAGACUCACCC
rnacentral:lncRNA from 1 species